rnacentral:rRNA from 1 species
UUUUGAAUACUGCAGCAUGGAAUAAUAAGAUAGGAUUUUAGUUCUACAUUAUUGGUUUUAAGAACUAAAUUAAUGAUUGAUAGGGAUAGUUGGGGGCAUUUGUAUUUAACUGUCAGAGGUGAAAUUCUUAGAUUUGUUAAAGACAAACUACUGCGAAAGCAUUUGCCAAAGAUGUUUUCAUUAAUCAAGAACGAAAGUUAGGGGAUCGAAGACGAUCAGAUACCGUCGUA